rnacentral:rRNA from 1 species
AGAGUUUGAUCCUGGCUCAGGAUGAACGCUGGCGGCGUGCCUAAUACAUGCAAGUCGAGCGAACCACUUCGGUGGUGAGCGGCGAACGGGUGAGUAACACGUAGGUGAUCUGCCCAUCAGACGGGGACAACGAUUGGAAACGAUCGCUAAUACCGGAUAGGACGAAAGUUUAAAGGUGCUUCUGGCACCGCUGAUGGAUGAGCCUGCGGCGCAUUAGCUAGUUGGUAGGGUAAAGGCCUACCAAGGCGACGAUGCGUAGCCGACCUGAGAGGGUGAACGGCCACACUGGGACUGAGACACGGCCCAGACUCCUACGGGAGGCAGCAGUAGGGAAUCUUCGGCAAUGGGCGAAAGCCUGACCGAGCAAUGCCGCGUGAACGAUGAAGGUCUUAGGAUUGUAAAGUUCUUUUAUAAGGGAAGAAAAAGCACAAUGGACUUGUGCAUAUUGACGGUACCUUAAGAAUAAGCCACGGCUAACUACGUGCCAGCAGCCGCGGUAAUACGUAGGUGGCGAGCGUUAUCCGGAAUUAUUGGGCGUAAAGCGUGAGUAGGUGGCAUAUUAAGUCUAUAGUAAAAGGCUGUGGCUCAACCAUAGUAUGCUGUAGAAACUGGUAAGCUAGAAUUAGGGAGAGGUUAAUGGAAUUUCAUGUGUAGCGGUGGAAUGCGUAGAUACAUGAAGGAACACCAGUGGCGAAGGCGGUUAACUGGCCCUACAUUGACACUCAGUCACGAAAGCGUGGGGAGCAAAUAGGAUUAGAUACCCUAGUAGUCCACGCCGUAAACGAUGAGUACUAAGUGUUGGAGAAAUUCAGUGCUGAAGUUAACAUAUUAAGUACUCCGCCUGAGUAGUACGUUCGCAAGAAUGAAACUCAAAGGAAUUGACGGGACCCCGCACAAGCGGUGGAGCAUGUGGUUUAAUUCGAAGCUACGCGAAGAACCUUACCAGGGCUUGACAUGGCAUUAAAGGCUCUAGAGAUAGAGAGAUAGUUAUAGUGCACACAGGUGGUGCAUGGUUGUCGUCAGCUCGUGUCGUGAGAUGUUGGGUUAAGUCCCGCAACGAGCGCAACCCCUGUCCUUAUUUGCUAACAUUAAGUUGAGGACUAUAAGGAGACUGCCGGUGAUAAACCGGAGGAAGGUGGGGAUGACGUCAAAUCAUCAUGCCCCUUACGUCCUGGGCUACACACGUGCUACAAUGGCCGAUACAAAGAGAAGCAACCUCGCGAGAGCAAGCAAAACUCAUAAAGUCGGUCUCAAUUCGGAUUGGAGUCUGCAACUCGACUCCAUGAAGUCGGAAUCGCUAGUAAUCGUGAAUCAGCAAUGUCACGGUGAAUACGUUCCCGGGGUUUGUACACACCGCCCGUCAAACCAUGAGAGUUGGCAAUACCCGAAGUCGUGGAGGUAACCUGCAAAGGAGCCUUGCGCCGAAGGUAGGGCCGAUGAUUGGGGUUAAGUCGUAACAAGGUAUCCCUACGGGAACGUGGGGAUG